rnacentral:rRNA from 1 species
GACAGAGGGUGCAAACGUUGCUCGGAAUUACUGGGCGUAAAGCGCGUGUAGGCGGUUCCGCCAGUCUGGUGUGAAAGCCCGGGGCUCAACCCCGGAAGCGCAUUGGAUACUACGGAGCUUGAGUCCUGAAGAGGAGAGCGGAAUUCCCGGUGUAGAGGUGAAAUGCGCAGAUAUCAGGAGGAACACCGGUGGCGAAGGCGGUUCUCUGGGAAUGUCCUGACGCUGAGGAGCGAAAGUGUGGGGAGCGAACAGG